GAAGAAGAAAGAUAUUACCUAAGACCUUAGUAUGCAGGUAUUAUUGUGCAGUGAUUAAAGAGCAUAUACCCUAGGGCCAAAUUUCCUGGGUUCAAAUCUAACUUAUCAUCACUGUCCCUCAGUUUUCUCAUCUGUAAUGGUAACAGAGUAUUACAGCCACUCCAGAUUUGUAUUCCAAAUGGAUAGUUUGAUUGUAGAAAUCACAUCCCUUCAGCCUGCAAAUGUGAUAACUGCCCAAGAGACAGUGAUGCCUAGAUCCAUAGAUAAUCCCCUUUCCCCCAUCCUAUGUAUAACUGGAGUCAACAGCAGCUAGAGGAAAAGAGCCACCGUGCCAAGCCAGAAGUUGUUUACUUUCUUCCUCAUAGGAGGAGGAGUUUAUUUGGUUUCUAAUAAUAGUAGGUUAUUUUUUUGGAACAUCAGGGGCAUCUGUUUACUGGGAGUUGUUUUAAUAAACCUUAGUGUUAUAUAUAUAUAAUAUAUAUUACAUAUAUAUUAUAUAUAGUAGUAGUGUUAAACCUCUUACACAAGUAAUGAUGCAACAUCCUAUGUCAAUUGGGUGGGCUCGAACCACCAAGCUUUCGGUUAACAGCGGAACGCGCUAACCGAUUGCGCCACAGAGACAAGCACUGCUAAUUCCACUGGGUGAUAUAGGAAGGGCGCACUCACUAAACUUCCUCCGUCCCUUCUAUUCUCAGGGCCCGCCUGGCAGGACGACUGAGCAAGUCCUUGGAAAACCAGAGAUAUUAGAGCGGUGAAUCGCGCUGGUCACGUUGGACACCUGCGCGUUAGGAGAUUCUGGAGCCAGAGGGAGAGACCCCAGAAACUGCCCGGUCGGCGACCCAGCCCGAGACGCCUGGGGUCCCAAGGGAAGCUGAACGCCUGGUGGGCUCCCGGGAUGGUUCUUCCGGUUCUUUGUGCCGCCUUCACCCAGUGAAGGAGCCUGUAUCCACCCUGCCCAGUCGCUGUUGGGC
rnacentral:lncRNA from 1 species